UCCGGCGGCGGACCUCGCCGUGUGCUGUGUUGCGCCCUCACUGUGGUCCGACGUACAGAGGAAAGCCCGCCCCAUCCCCGCACCUCCGUUCUCCACCUCCGCGCCACCCUCCAACCCACCCCCUCACUACACCUGGCGCCUACCUCCGCCAUCCGCCGGCGGCUAGAUCCGCCGUUCGCCGAUGCCGGAGAAGAGAAAUCAAGCCAUCAGGUUCAGGGAAUGAUGGAGUCAAUGACUAGUAUUGCUCCACGUGUCAGGUCAACUAUAGCGAUUGGACUUGAAGAUGAUGCCAACAAUUUUUCCUUGGUCCAAACGAGAUUCGGCAUACAUGAUGAAGAUUGUUACAGCACAUCGAAAAGAACAAGUAGCCUACCCGCAUGAGGGUCAACUUACGAGCCAGAAUAUGAUGACAGCCUACAACCCUCAAUUGGAAUGCGAUUUGAUAGCUGGGAGGCAGGUUUGACAUUCUAUAGAAUGUAUGCUCAUGAGGUUGGCUUCUCUGUACGCAUAUGGACACAACACAAAGGAGAGGGCGGUGUAAUAAUCUGGAAGAACUUUGUUUGCGCAAGACAAGGUUGGAGGAAGAAAAAAUCAGUGGAUCUAGGUCAAGUUACUCAAGAAGUGGAGAGAAAAAAGGCUAAAAGAAAUAUCAAGAUAAGCAGAUGCGGUUGUGAGGCUAUGAUGGGAUUGAAGAGGCAAGAUGACAACAAGUACGUGGUCGUCCAAUUUGUUCAAUCGCACACCCACCAACUUGUCUCCCCAAGUAAGAGGCAUCUCAUCAGGUCAAAUAAAGAGGUAACUAGUGAUUUGAGAAACAAAUUAUUUACAUGCAGUAAGGCAUUUCUUGGCACUUCAAAAACUUUUCGCUUGCUUAGCAUAGAGAAGGGUGGGCCAGAAAAUAUUGGUUGCACAGAACGUGACUUACAAAACUGUCACCUUGAUUUAAAGGCAGCGAUUACGGGGGCAGAUGGACAACUUAUAGUAGAUAUAAUGGAAAA